AUGGUACCUCCGGGUAUUAAGGAACUUCUGACAAAUGUGGAAAAGGAGACUGUUUCGUUAUGGAUCAGCAGCUUGGAGGUGGAGGGGGCGGGGGUGUGUGGAGAACAGAAGCCAAGGAGGAAGGGAAAUCACCAAGCCCUGAGAUCAAGAAAGGUUCCCCAGGCACCUCUGCUGACACCGGGCUUACUGAAAGUUUUUAUGCAUCAUCUGAAAGGGAUUUAGAGUUAAAUAUCUAAAAGUACAAAGUACGUUGGAGCUCUGAUGAAGGAAAAUACCACACAGAUAAGGAUAAACAAACUACAGAGCAGAAAUGACCACAGGUCUGACCCAGUCUAAUAAUUCUCAACAUCUCUCAGAGUUGUUGUUGAGGAUUAAAUAAGAUCACUCAUGAAUGCCCCAGGAAAAUUAUAAAAUGGUACACAAAUGUUGCUUAUGACUGUGAUUAUGUCGUAGCUGGUUUUACAUCAGAAUUUGAUAACAGAGCUAAAAACAGAAUCCUUAAUGGAGUCUGGGAUUCUAUUCAGCCAUCCACCCUAACUGGGAGUACUUUAUAAGAAUGAUUUGGCUUUUACAAGUAAUCAGCCUCAGUUUUUUGUUUGUUUUGUUUUUUUUUUUUUUUAAAUAAAAAUGCCGCAUCCAAAUUUAAAAGCUGGGGAAAGAGAAUAAGGAAGAAAAAAAGCCAUCCAUCGCCUCAAAAGGCCCUAAUGUCACCCAAGAUUUGUUGUGUGAGCGAUGGAAUGAAUGAAACAACAAACCCAGUUUUACCAUUUUGUACAGCCCUAUCAGUUUCCUGCAUGAACUCACGCACUCUACAUUGGCAACGUGGAGUCUCAAUCACUGGAGCACCAGAAAAGUACCUGGCUCUACAUUAGUAUAAUCUGCACGGUCCAUUGGCAUCAGACAGUGCCUCAUGGUCCUUCAGAGCCUUCAGAACCGUGCAGUAUUUCCUGGAUUUGAUGCACUAUAAUGUAUUUAAUUCAUCCUUGUUAGAACAGUUGACAAACCCUCCAUAUCCCUUUCCAGGGAUUAUCUUUGUACGAAGUCUUCUUCUACUCUUUAGCCAAUUUCCCAGUGCUAGGGAAUUAUAUUUAAUAUCUUAUAAUAACCUACAAUGAAAAGUUUUAUACACACACACACACAUAUGUAUGACUCUCUUUGCUGUAUACCUGAAGCUAACACAAUUUUGUAAAUCAAUUAUCAGUUCAGUCGCUCAGUCACGUCCAACUCUUUGCGACCCCAUGGACUGC
rnacentral:lncRNA from 1 species